ensembl:lncRNA
GAGAAAACAUGUGAAUGUUUAGGCUUUUUAUGACUAGGUGGGGGCCACUAGGGGCUAUAAAAGGCUGAGUAACCCGUCACCAUUUUGAGACAUGCUGUGACCCUCUUCAAGCAUCUCUCCCCAUCAUGAUGCCCAAAGAUUAAAAGAACUGGGAGAUUUUAACAACUUGGUGCCUGGUGACCCGGAUCUUUGGCGUGCUGAGGAAUGGCAGAUUUGGCCUGUGGUGAGAUCGUGGGGCGAGGCGAACAGAGGACCGGUACAAACAGAAAGGUAAGCACAGCCUGUUGUAUUAUAAAUACCAAAUGUGCAUAUUGGGCUUUCCAAAUUAAUCUGUUCGCUGAGUUACACGUAUUUUCACAGUAAAUUUGUCGGUGUCUGGUUUUUGGCACAAGAUACUAACAACAUAAGUUGAGGCUGAAUUCCAGUGUGUUAAAUGAACUGCUUCUAGCAAGAUACUAAUAACAUACUACGUUGAGUCUAGUUGCAGCCCACUUUACCUUCCACAUUUAACUUUGUCUAAGACUGGCUUCUGUAGCAAUAAUACAUUAGAAUCUUUGGAGACGCGGCCAUAUGUCCAGUACAUUGAAUAGAGGUUUUGAAGUGGGUUAUGGUGUCGGUUGAGUCCUCGUUGAUGCGGCCAUGAAAUUAGUAUGAAAUUAAGGUUAAGCAGAUACUGGCUUACGGUGCGGUUGAGCGCCGGCAACGCGUAAAUGCGAAACACGUCCGUAGGUUUUGGUUUAUGAUACGGCCGUGUUCCGGUGAUGCGGCCGUAAGUACAGUAGUGAGGGGUUGCUGGUUUCAGCACAAUUGAAAAGAGGUUAGACGGUGGUUUAUGGUGUCGUUUUUGAGCCUCGAGGGCUGCGGUCAUAAAAUUAUAAGUAAAAUAUUUACUUCACCCCGAUUAAAGGUAAAGUAGACGCUGGUUUAUGGUGUCGGUUUUGAGCUUCGGGGACGAGCAUCACUUCUGUUUAUGAUGCGAUUUUGCCCCGUGGUGGCGGUCAUAAGCGCAGUAAAAGGAGUACAUGGUGUAUGGUGCGGUUGUGCUUCGGAAGAGUUCUAACAGUUGAGUUCAGAGGUUUCUGUGUAAAUUUCCGCUGAUGAGAAGCGCUCUCUGUGGGUCUCACUGCUGGUGAAACGCGCUGUGUGUGUGAGGCGCGCACUGGGUGCUGUUCUGUGUGUGAAGCGCGCUCUGGGUGCUGCUCUGUGUGUGAGGCGCGCUCUGGGUGUGUUUCCGUGUGUGAAGCGUGAACACAGUGACAGUGACGGUUGAUGUGUGAAUAGGAGGACAUUAGUGCGAAGAAAAUGCUUUAAGAUCAAAGGUUGACGCCUAGUGUACCUGUGGAAAUUAAUUUUGUUCAAGGUGUGGCAACCCCCCUGUCUGUGGACGCACAGGCCGGUCCAGCGUCGUCUGGGUGCCGAGGUGGCGACUUGGGAACUGAGGACUCCCGCAUAGCUACAGAAUAACACUGGAACGGCCGUGUAAUCACGGGCUCACAUUUAUUCUGGAAUAGAACAAGAAAAUGCUUUGACAUCUAAGGUUGAGUUCUAUAGUAGUCAAAAAAGAAAACCGAGGUUAGAGUCCUCAUUUCUUAAAAUAAGAGGUUAGAGUCCUCGUUAUAGUGACGUUUCAGUGGUUAAAAUUGUUGUGUGCCUGUCCCCUGAUAACGUGAAAUUACGAAUAAAGAGGGAAUUUGGAGCCACAUAGAGAUAGACGGGCAUAAUUGGGUGUAUUACUCUGUGGUGUAAUAAAAAAAAAUAAUAAAAAAAGGAGAGAGAGAUAGUAAGAGGUGUGUAGUGGAGAAUUAUUGAGAAGCAGAGAGAGGAAUAUGUUGGGAGACGGGCGUGCAGUUUUCGCUGUCAAGGUGGGCGUGUUGCCUGCUUAUCUGUUUAACAAUGAUGAAAAUGAUAUUAAAUAAAUCUCUUAGUGUGUUAAUACAGGAAGCUACGGACCUGGACCAACUGCCCCCACAAGCACAGCGGCCGAAGCAAAAUUAUAGUAAUGGGAACCACACCCAGCAAGAAUCAGCAGCUGUGAAACAGACAGCAGCGAGGAGAGAAUUAGAGGAGAAAUGAAGGUUUUAAGAGCACAUGAAAUUGGGUUGAAUUUUGGGGCCAACGGACUUGUGGAGGUUGGGAAGGCGUCCGGAGCAUCACAACAAAAGGUGAAACAAAAACACACACGAGCAGAGAAAUGUGAGAGAAAGGCUCCUGUUAAGGUAAUGCCUAGUUUGAGAAAAAGUUAAAAUUAACCUGCCUACAAAUGCACACACAUGCAAUGAAAAAACAGCUUACACUCAUGAACAUGUGAAGAUUUUCCAGCAAGGUUAAAGCAGCAAAAAUUAACAUACUUCUGUUGUUAAAUGAUGAAGUUUAUCCAUUACUAACAAAUAAACCCUCUGGGUUGCAGGACAACAAUUUAGCUUCAAAGAAAAAGAAAAUAAAGAGACUGGUAUGACCAAUGAGUGAUGAAACAACAAAUUUAGUAGUUAACAGUCAAAUUGUGAGAUGUUUUCUGAUGAUUGAACAACACAAGUGAUUACGGACGGAAAGAAAAUUUCUCUUUUGUGAGUUUAAACAUGAUCUUAAGAAAUUGAACAUGUGCAUGUUGUCCUGUCAACUUGGUGGGUUAUGAGUUGAUUAUAGCGUGGAAAAAAAAAAAAAAAAAAAAAAAGGGAGAGAAGGCUGACACAGGGCCUGGCCUGGUGUUUCUCCCCUCUCUUUGUAACACAGCCAACACAACAUCAUUUUCCUGUUCGUACACUUCGGUUUGUUUUUGUUUUGUUUUGUUUUGUUUUUUUCUCUUUAUGUUUAAUUACAGGCUGCUUUGCCGGCCCUGAAAGCCGAGGCUGACCUGGACUCCUGCUCUCCCCUCUACGUGACCCUGACCAAAUGCUGCAACAGCUGGACCCACAACAACAACCUGAAAAUGUCAGUGCUGCAGGAAUGCGAUCUCAUGCAGCAGAGACGGAGAGCACUAAAACCUGAGGCCCGUUUCACUACACGGGGGAAAAUUCUCAGACAGCUUCAGCUGACAGAGCUGUGACGAGACGCCCGCCAAGCCCGAAUGAAAAGUAAGGCCGAACAAAAGAAUGCUGAUCUUGAUAACUCUGCAUUCACACUGUGCAGGACAGUGAUGGACCAACACGGCAGCAAAAUGGGCGUGACAGAGACAGGAGGAGCAAGUGAGGUCAAAAGGCACCUCGGAAUGGACAAAAACACAGAGGAAGAUGCAGGUUUCACCUACGGUGAGCAUGGACACUGGAGAAAGGACUGCCCCAAUUGGGGUCAGAACCAGGACGGACUGAACUUUGAGCAGCAGCAGCAAUGGUCGCAAACAGACUGAAAAGGAGGAGGGCAGGACCCCAGGGCAUGCUUCAGGCCGUGGUUUACCCAAGACACCAGAACAGGAAAGUGAUGAGCACAAACACACACAUCUACAUACACUGAUGAAAAGAAACACUCACAUGAACAGAUGUGCACUCGUUGAUUGAGUGAAAAAGGACACACACACACACACACAUUGAAAGGCUGAUUCACUGAGAAGUGAUCCACACACAUACACAUACACAUGCACACGCUUGUGCAAUGAAGAGUGAUGCGCACACACAUACACGCUGAUGCAAUGAAGAAUGCUUUGCUAACAAAUGCUUAUGCUGAUAUGCAAAAUGCUGCACACAAACAUCCCAAUACAUAAUUUUUAUGAGGCCAUUGAUUAUCGUUGAUUACUUAAAAUGUGUUUUAUGUCACCCAGAGUACAUUUAUGUAGAUUUUAGGGGUAAGGUCUAAAACAGUUUGGUUAUGAAAACAAUGUCUGUGCGUGAUGUCUGUUUAUGGCUCAAGGCCUUGACUGAAUUCUUUGCUGUGCUUCAUACACAGCCCUGAUGAGGAGCAGUGGCACAGAGUGAAAAUGAUGAAUUAAUAGUGUAAGUUUAGGUCGAGAUGCGGCAUUUUCUG